GCGCCCGUAGCUCAGCUGGAUAGAGCGUCGGUCUACGGAACCAAGGCUCGGGAUUCCGACUCUCUGCUGGCGCG
rnacentral:tRNA from 1 species